rnacentral:rRNA from 1 species
UACGUAGGGGGCGAGCGUUGUCCGGAAUCAUUGGGCGUAAAGCGCGUGUAGGCGGCUUGGUAAGUCGGGUGUGAAAUCCCUCAGCUCAACUGAGGAAGUGCGCCCGAAACUGCUUUGCUUGAGUGCUGGAGAGGGUCGCGGAAUUCCCGAAGUAGAGGUGAAAUUCGUAGAUAUCGGGAGGAACACCGGUGGCGAAGGCGGCGACCUGGACAGUAACUGACGCUGAGACGCGAAAAGCGUGGGUAGCAAACAGG